AAUAAGCGGAGGAAAAGAAACCAACAGGGAUUGCUCUAGUAACGGCGAGUGAAGCAGCAAUAGCUCAAAUUUGAAAUCUGGCGUCUUCGACGUCCGAGUUGUAAUUUGUAGAGGAUGCUUCUGAGUAACCACCGACCUAAGUUCCUUGGAACAGGACGUCAUAGAGGGUGAGAAUCCCGUAUGCGGUCGGAAAGGUGCUCUAUACGUAGCUCCUUCGACGAGUCGAGUUGUUUGGGAAUGCAGCUCUAAAUGGGAGGUAAAUUUCUUCUAAAGCUAAAUAUUGGCCAGAGACCGAUAGCGCACAAGUAGAGUGAUCGAAAGAUGAAAAGCACUUUGGAAAGAGAGUUAAAAAGCACGUGAAAUUGUUAAAAGGGAAGGGAUUGCAACCAGACUUGCUCGCGGUGUUCCGCCGGUCUUCUGACCGGUCUACUCGCC
rnacentral:rRNA from 1 species